rnacentral:rRNA from 1 species
UACAGAGGGUGCGAGCGUUAAUCGGAAUUACUGGGCGUAAAGCGCGCGUAGGCGGCUUUGCAAGUCGGGUGUGAAAUCCCCAGGCUUAACCUGGGAACUGCAUUCGAGACUGCAUUGCUAGAGUAUGGGAGAGGGAAGUGGAAUUUCAGGUGUAGCGGUGAAAUGCGUAGAUAUCUGAAGGAACAUCAGUGGCGAAAGCGACUUCCUGGACCAAUACUGACGUUCAGGCACGAAAGCGUGGGGAGCAAACAGG